rnacentral:misc_RNA from 1 species
GUGAGUCAUCGAAUCUUUGAACGCACAUUGCGCCCGCCAGUAUUCUGGCGGGCAUGCCUGUUCGAGCGUCAUUUCAACCCUCAAGCUCCGGCUUGGUGUUGGGGAUCGGCAGCCCGGCUUCGCGCCGUCGCCGUCCCCCAAAUGCAGUGGCGGUCACGCUGUAGCUUCCUAUGCGUAGUAGCACACCUCGCACUGGAAAGCAGCGCGGCCACGCCGUAAAACCCCCAACUUUUUUGUGGUUGACCUCGAAUCAGGUAGGACUACCCGCUGAACUUAAGCAUAUCAAUAAGCGGAGGA